rnacentral:tRNA from 1 species
GGCCCAGUAGCUCAGUUGGAUAGAGCGGCAGCCUCCGGAGCUGUAGGUCGCAGGUUCGAAUCCUGCCUGGGUCACCA